rnacentral:rRNA from 1 species
GCAGCCGCCGCGGGAAUACCAGCAGCCCAAGUGGUGGUCGCGAUUAUUGGGCCUAAAGCGCUCGUGGCCGGGCCGGUAAGUCCCUUGUGAAAUCGGACGGCCUAACCGUUCGGCGUGCAAGGGAUACUGUCGGUCUUGAGGCCGGGAGACGUCCGAGGUACUCCGGGGGUAGCGGUGAAAUGUUCUGAUCCUCGGGGGACCACCGGUGGCGAAGGCGUUCGACGAGAACGGGCCUGACGGUGAGGGGCGAAGGCUAGGGGAGCAAACGGGAUUAGAUACCCCUGUAGUCCCUGUCUCUUAUA